UUUGAGCUGUGGCUGCGGAUUUUAUCCUGUUUAUUUGCGGGAAGGGCCAUAGCCUCAACCCCAAGCGAAAGACUCGGGGAAGAAGAAAAGGAUCUUAUGGGCUCGACAUUCGCUGUGGCUCGUGGUGUUAUCUUCAGCUGGUUUUACUCCUCUGGCCACUCUUCCUCGUCUUCCAUUGACAAAGAGCCACCAGCAUAUCCUGACUUUGGAAGAAGGGAGGUGGUACUGAGGAGCUUUGCGGUUCCAGCAAUGGCGGCGAUAUUCAACUUCAGUGGAGCCAAACCUGGAUAUCUUGGCGUUCAAAAGAACUCUCCUUCACUUGCGCUUUGCCCAGCAACUAGUAACUGCGUGUCUACAUCAGAAGAUAUAAGCGAUUCCAAACAUUAUGCCCCUCCAUGGAAUUACAACCCGGACGAUGGGCGGAGAAAGAAAGCUGUAAGCAGAGAGGAAGCAAUGGAAGAACUUCUUCAAGUGUUGGUUUCUGAAAGGCCAGACAGAUUCACUCCUCGAGUGGUUGAGAAGAAAGAUGAUUACGUUCGAGUGGAAUAUGAGAGUCCAAUUUUUGGGUUUGUGGAUGACGUGGAGUUCUGGUUCCCACCCGGCAAAAAAUCUCUUGUAGAAUACCGCUCUGCUUCUCGCUCAGGCAACUUCGAUUUUGAUGUCAAUAGAAAACGGAUCAAGACUCUAAGAGAAGAACUGGAACAGAGAGGAUGGGCCUCUGAGAGCAGCUUCUGAUAGUUUUUGCCUCCAAGCUGAUGGUGGUUACUUGAAGUUGGAUGUCAAGAAGGGCUUACAAGAAGGGGAUAUGUUGAAGAACAUGGAUGGAGGGGAUAAGUGGAAGCAUCAAUGAAGGCAUCAAUAAAGUUGUCCAAAGAUUUGAUGACAACCAAGACAUUGAUGAACAUCAUUCACAGUCUGGCUAAAAUUUGGACGGAAAGAAUCGACAGAGCUGUGUUAACAUUGAUGUCUAUGAAAUAAUUGAAUUUAAUGACUAAAACUCUGCCUUUUAAGAUAUAUUCUUGGUCGGGCUUCUCAUGAACAUGUUUGAUGGCAAUAAGUGGGUUCUCCCCUGCAUCACUUCCUCCUCUUAUUGUGAAAGAAAUCAGAUAAGAUGGCAAAAUAAUCUUUAUCCUAUGCUAUGGCUCUUGGCUACAAUGCAAACUUGCCUUGAAAGGAACCCAAAAAGUUUUGGAUGGUUAUAUAGGAGAGGGAAUGAGGGAGGGGUUCAUCCUUCAUAGCAAGAGGUGGAGACAUGGAAAAAUUAUUAGGUGCGGAGUGUGCACUGUCCGCACAAGCACUGGGUACUUAGCGGUACCGAGUGCCGGUACCUAGCUGGGUAUAGUGCUUGCGCAGACGGUUCUCCCCGUCCGCACUCCGCACCUAAUAAUCUCUCGGAGACAUGGCUCUAUUCUCCCAUCAAACAAUGAUACAUAGAGAGAUUAGGAUAUAUUUGUGGCUUAAAUAAUGAUAAAUUAUUAAAAGCAGAUAAUAAAUGAAGUAUUGAGUAUGUAUAGGUCGGAGUACACAA